rnacentral:ncRNA from 2 species
ACUGGUCCCCGUGGUGAUUUGUCCGACCGGAUUGCGGCCACGUUAAAAAAACCGCUAAAGAGGUCCUGCUCCGGUUUCG